UGCAUUGCGACGGGUUACAUCACUAGUCCUAACAUGAUGUAACCCAACGCAGCAUGAU
rnacentral:pre_miRNA from 1 species